GACUCAAGAUGGUAAAGAAUCUGCCUGCAAUGCAGGAGACCCAGGUUCAAUUCCUGGGUUG
rnacentral:tRNA from 1 species